rnacentral:lncRNA from 1 species
UACCCCAGACUUAAUUCUGUUCCAUUUCACAAAUUAGUUUUUUCAAACCUAUUCAGGAAAGAAAGGGCUAGCUUUGGGCCCCUGUAACAGACCCCGCCCUGAUUUUAGCCAGGCCUGGGUGUUUGUCAGGAGAGUGGGAAAAGAUAGUGUCAUCACAGAUCCUUAACUGCCCAGACCAAAAAGCCCAUAGCAUCUUUACCUCCAGGAAUCUCUAGUGCUAAUGCCGGUUUAAGGAAGGACAAAGGCAAACCAGAAACAUCCUAUUAUUUUGUGGAGAUGGAUUUUUAUACAUCAAUUUAUAUUCAUUGAUUGGUCAUUCAUUUCAAUAUUGAGGCCCCCUCGGUGUCACAUUUGUGCUGGAUCUUGGCACAUGGCAGUGACUGUCUCAGUCUCGUGAGGAGACAUGAGUGAUUACAGGGCUGGGUGGGGUUCUGAGCACUGAGGAGAGUGUGGCACUGGGUAUCAUGGGGACAAAAGCUCCUGGGAACGAGGAGCUCUGUGUGGGAGGAGAAGGAGGGCCUCCUGGUGGUAGAAGUGCACCUAGGAAGACAUCGUGCUUGUGGGUGGGGAGAAUGGUGGCCAGGAGAGGAGUGAGCUGCCAGCACUCUCAGCGAGCAUGUCCUUUGGACACCACAAACUCAUCAGUCUGGCCAGAUCGGAGGGUACAGAUGUGAGAGGAGAGACAGGAGAUUCUAAAAUGGAACAGCAGUCCUAGAUCUGAAGAGCCUUGCCUGCCGGAGUAAUGAAGGUCCCCAGGAGAUGGAUUUGUUUUAGACUUUUACUUCUAUUUCAGCUUGACAGCAGCCUGCAAGUAUAUUCCCAUAUAACAGAUAAAAAUAAAACAUUAGAACAGCUGAGUAAUAAAAAUCAUGAGACUACAAUUUUGCUAUAAUGCAUUUAAAAUAGUCCCACACCAAAUUGGCUGAUUUGAUCAUUAUUUUCUUCCUCCACUAAUGUGCUCCAGCCACCUGCCUUGGAGCAAGGGCACCCCAACACCCCAAAACUGCAGUUUCCCCAGACUUCCCCUUGAGCACAGUUAAACAGACAAACGUGCUUCUAAUUGCCAGAGACACCUUUGUUCUCUCUACAAAGACACGCUCCUUCCAGCCCUUUGUGCUGUCAUCUCACUCUAUUAGACACUUUCUGUUGGGUGUGGAUUUUACCGUGAUGGGUUUCUUGAACAGGCCUUGCUGUUGCUUUUUAUCUGAAAGAAAGGGCUGCAAGAAUUCAAUGGAUUAUUUAUUAAAACAGCCCUGCUUUGAGAGAAUUUUCUUUUCUUUUGAGUGUUUAAUAACGGUUCUCCUCUUGGAUGCUCUCUGCAUAAAAGAAGUUAAACUAUUGAAGAAAUGAUUUAACCAUUUUAAAACUAAUACACUUUAGAAUUCUGAUUUGAGAUAAAGUAGAAUUUUAUUAACAAAGGGCAAAUCUCAUUUUCACCAAGUGGAAAUGUGUUCCUACUGGGAGGAUAAAACCAAGUCUGGGAAAAUGUGAAUCAGAUGGUUGGCAGCCUAAGGUGAAAUUAAUACAACACUCAAUGUCCUAUUCAUGACACCCAGAAGGCUUUACUUGCCCUCUGACUCCCCCUGAAAAAAACCUAAGAAGAUGCAGGGAAAGAUGUAAAAAUAAUGUGAAAAUAAUAUCCUUCAGAACGUGGCUUUUAGCCAGAUCUUUGUGUAAAUGAACACAUACCUCCACGUUAUUUAUUCGUAAUAUGUUAAGUUCAUUGGGCACAAGUGCCAUGUAGAGCAUCUCACAGGUGAUACUCCCUUUUCCUCAGAAGAGCUCAGGGGCAGGUGUAAUGGUUUUCCUCAUUUCACAAAGGGUCAGAGGAGCUGAGUCACUGUCGAGGUCAAAACAACUUGUGUCAUUGUUGAUAUACAGUUUGGUCCAUUUUUUUCAGACUGGUCCAUGGUUUGUUUAUUUGUUUUUACAGUGCUUUGUGGUUUCCUGAUAUCUUUAUUAAUUAUGUUGAUAAAAUUGUAGGAAUUACAUACCUCUAAUCAUCAGUCCUAAAAGGCCUGAUAGAGGUGGGAUUUUUAAAAAGUAUGACAGAGGUGGUUCAUUUAUUCAUUUAUUUUAUUUUAUUUUUACCACCGCACCUGUGGCAUACGGAUACAGAUUUGAUCCUCAGGCUAGGGGUGAAAUGAGAGCUGCAGCUGCCGGCCUACACCAUAGCCACAGCAACACAGGAUCCAAGCCACAUCUGAGAUUUACAUGUUAGCCUGUGUAACACCUGAUCCUUAACCUACUGAAGAGGAGCCAAGGAUCCAACCCGUGUCCUCAUGGAUACUAUGUUGGGUUCCUAACCCACUGAGCCACAAUUGUAACUCCUAAUGGAGCAUAUUUAAUAAAAGGCUUGAGUUUCUGCCACCACCUCUGCCACUAAUAAUGACGGUGCCAUGAAAACUGUAUGUUUAUUACAAACCAACGCAAAGUGCUAAUGUAGAAUUACAGCACUGAAAUAAUUAUGUAUAGUAAUUAUUAGGGUCAGAAAUUAUAUUUAUACUUAUGAUUUUAUAAUGUGUAAAUUUAUGAUUUGGGGGGAUUUUCUGUACAAUCAACUCUCCUUCAGGACGUUGGUACAGAUAACCACUUCUGUCAUUUUACAGAAGAUGGAGAGAAACAGGAGGAAAUUGAAGAAUAGCCACCUAGGAAAUUAUAGAGCUCCUGGAGAAUUACAGUUUCAUAAAAAGGAAAUAAAAAAGGGAGGGCAGUCAUUGUACUGUAUUCACUAUUGACCACAUCAGCUGGUUAUCUCCGGAGAGUGCUAAUUUUCUUUAUAUGGAUACUUUGAACAUCUGGACUAAAAUGAAUAAAGGUUUUUACUCUUCCUGUAGUCAACAUCUGGAUACAAUGUAUAUUUUUAGAAGGGUGCUGUUCACACAGAGACCGGUUGUGAAGACCUUUCCUGCUGUCAUUUCUGUGAACCUUAUGCUCAUGGUUGGGUAUCUAUAUUAGGUGACAGGAGUUAUUGGCUGAUCCUUUCAGCUCCCAUCCUGUGCUACCUGCCCACUUCUGCAUUACUCCAGUUGAUGAUUCAGUAUUCAUUUUUCCAUAAGUAGAAGCUGGCUUAGACAUGUCCAUGUUAUAUAUGUGUAUUCUUAACUUUAUCAGGACUUUUCUUGCUGCCAUUUGAAAAUGGCAGGCACUCUUUUGCCUCAGGGCCCUUGAACCUGCUGUUAUGUCUCCUUGGAUGUUCUUAUCUCACAGACUUGCAUCUUUAUUCUCUUCUUCAUCAACUUCAGGCAUCCUAUUUAAAGUGCACUCCCUAGCAGUCCUCUUUUCUCCUUUCCUUAGUUACUUCGUUCCACAGCAGUUACAUACCUCUUACGUAUUUUACACUUUACUUAUGCAUUUAUUCAUUAUCAGUUUACCAUCACUAAAUGCAAACUCCAUGAAUGUAGGAAUUUUUGUUGGUUUUAUUCACCACUCUGUCUCCAACAUUGGGAACGAUGCCUAGCAUAACAAGGGUUCAGUAAAACUUGUUGAAUAUAUUAUAAAUAAGUAUGUAUUAUGAAUAUAAAAACCAAAAUUACAUAUAUACUCAUUAGAAUGUAAUUUCCAUGAGGGCAAGAACUGAGUUUUGUUCAUCAUAUGGUCCCUGGUGCCCUGAAGAGAACCUGAUACGUAAUAGACAUUCAGUAUACCUUUAUGGAUUAGAUAGAUCAGAGCUCAUUAAUAAAAUGAUUGAAAAUAGUACAGGGUUUUAAAGCAGGGAUGAAAAGAGGGAGGGGAGAAGGAAAGAACAAGAAAGAGAAUGUGUAAGUAUUAGUAUUUCAGCGCUUACUUUCAUUUUGCAUUGGUUUUACCGUGAUUAUAUGUUGUUUAUUAGCUUAAAGCUACCAAUUAAAAUAAAAUUUGCAGUUCUGUUAAGAACAGAAAAUAAAAUUGUGAAUAAAUAUAGCUUAUCAUGAAAACUCAUAUAGACUCCCUGUCAACUAGCCCCCCCCCCCUUUUGUAUUGGUCAGUCUAAAGUGAGGUGCAAUUAAUGGUGUAUGUCUUUUAAAUCUUGGCUGACUAAUCAUAUUCUCCUGUCUAUACAUGUAUUGGAGUCAUAUGUAAUCCUACAGCCAUUUACUCAGCAGAGAAAAUGAGAAAGAUUACUGUUGCCAGGUUUAUUUUUUGUAGACCCAGGAACAAAACAGACACUUCAGCUCUACCGUGAACCAACCAUCAUCUACUUGGGAGGGUGCAGCAGAGGGGAAAAAUGUAAGAUGAAUUAUAAUGAUGAACAGUACACUAGCAUUUGAAGUGCCUGUUUAUUACAAAAAUGGGAAAGCUUCAAAGUUAUUCUUUCUGCUGGCCAGGAACCAGAGCUAAACAGAGAGGAAAAUUGCCUUUGAUUGAAACAUGUGGCCAGCAGCCACUGGAGUAUGUUCUAAAAGCAGAAAUAGGUAUUCUAAGAUACAGAGAAUCACUGUUUGACCCAGCAUUAUUUUUACAUAUAUUAAGGCACAUUUCUUAACAUGGAGAAACAUUAACAAUGCUAUGUAUUUUUAAAAGUUGGAACUUAGAUGCUUAGAUGUUUAAGUAAUCAAAAGUAUUCAGAUAUAAGACAAUACAUGGUAGAAAUUAAUGCCUGAAAAGUAUAGUUGAAUCAAAAAAGGGAGGGGACUUAUGUUAAGCUUAGUCAACAAAUAAUUAGCUUGAAGUAGGAAUCUUGGUCAGUCUAGGGAAAAAUGGGCAGUUAGACCCAUUCCAGACUUCGGAUAAGGUCUCUCUGGUUCAUUCGUUAUAUUGUUGUGAAAAUAAUCACGACAACUAACCCCCAGCCUAUUUUUAAGGGAGGCGUUUACUUCCUGACUCCUUGAUGAGGGCUUGGGCAUCUGCUUUUCUUCGGUCAGUGAAAUGUAAGUGAAAAUGACAUAACGCUUAAAUGACAAAAGCUUAAAGACCCAUGGUGAUAUUCUGCCAUCUCUCUUUUCACUCUACCACAAUAUCAGGAUGCUCCAGACAGGAAACAGAUGAAAGGAGCAUGUGGUAUAUUCAUAGGCAGUUCUUGGGGCAUCAAUGUGAGUCCGAAUCAAGCUCCACUUUUGCAGGCCAGUAAUAUGGGGAGUGUCCUGUUAUUGGUACACAAAUUAGCCUAAGCUGACUGAUACUGUCUCAUAUCUGUGAAGAGCAUUGAGAAAAGAGUCUGGUCUUCCCAGAGAACAUUCUCAAAGCAAUGGUGUCAUGACUUUGAGAACAACAGAGUUCUAAGAAGUCAAAGUUUCUCCAAGUGUGGCAACACAAAAUAAUCACCCAGGAGUUCCCAGGCCUCAUCCCAGAAUUAGUGAAUUGGAAUCGCUGAAGGUAGGGCUUGGGUAUCUGCAUUAUCACAGACUCCUUUGAUGACCCUUAUUAUAUAAACCCAAAUGUGAGACCUGCUGGCCAAGAUGUUGACCUAAGACUAAAGAGCUAGAGCGGAGAGGGGGUAAAUAAGACCUUAGAAAACUUGUCUGCACAGGUCUUGAGAUUUGGCUUGGCUCUGCCACUCACUAGCUUUGGGAUCCUGAGCUGGCCAGUUUAGUUCCCUCCUUGGAUUUCUCAUGACUUCCAUGGUUUUGAUGACAGCCAGUCCCACUAACUUUCCAAGCUAUUGUGAUAAAAUAACGGGAAAAUGCUUUGUAAACUGAAAAACAUUUCACAUAUCAAGAUGUUGGGGUCUUAUCAAGCUGUCUGUUGUGAGGGGGAAGGGAGGCUUUUCUCCAGUGACUUCUGAGACCAUGUAUUGAAUCAAGAUGGAAAACAACAGCAUAGCAUUAAAAAGCAGACGCAGCGUAGUCAAUCCUAACUUUAUUUCGCUCUUUUAAUAACAAGUAGGAAAAUGAAUUAGGGAUUAUUCAUGUUUAAGAGGAGGCUUAAUGUCUAGAGCCCAUCAAGUUUAAGCUGCAGAACUGAGAAGACAGAUACAGCCUGCUAUACCAGUUGAGAAUCCCAGAUACUUGGAGAAGCCAAGAAGGGAGAACCUGCCAAGUUGUUCUUAGACGACUCAAUAAAGGAAGGGUGAGAGCUCCUCAGUUCCUCCCCAUCCGUGCUAACUAGGGCAUCUCUUGAAUGCUCAUCAGAUGCGCAGGGUGUGCUAAGCACCCUAACUGAUGCUUCACAGUAACACCAAGAGAGAGGCAUUUGGGGUUACUGGUGCAGAAAAAGAACCUAAAGCUUGGCAAGGUAGCGUUUUGUUUUGUUGUCUAAAGAAACCCCUCUGAUAAAUGAAAGGGGCUCAAUUGUUACCAUAUUUUUGCCUGACUUCAGAGUUUUCUCUCUCAGUAACUGUGGUUAGUUUCUUUCCACAAAACAGAUACAGUUAUUGCUGGUGAAAAGAUGAUACAGACCUGUAUUGAUUUUAUAACCAGCAGAAAAUAUGUGAUAUUUGAAACCAAUGAAAGUCACCCCUCAAAUGCCAGGACAUUCUACCUAGCUAGAAUAAACUAGAAAGUAUAAUAUAAUACAUUGUAAAAAUCAAGUAACUCAUAAAAGCAUCUUCUUCCUUUGCAUUAAAAAUAAUAAGUGCCCAAAUGAGUAGACAACCU